rnacentral:lncRNA from 1 species
CACAGCUCUUCCUGCAGACUCUUUUUUCCCGAGGAUCCUGUUAAGAUUGUCCGGGCCCAAGGGCAGUACAUGUACGAUGAACAGGGGGCAGAAUACAUCGAUUGCAUCAGCAAUGUGGCACACGUUUGGGGGCAGCCCAGUGUCCUGCGCUGUGGGGCUGGCCGUCCUGAAUGUCUUGGAGAAGGAGCAGCUCCAGGAUCAUGCCACCAGUGUAGGCAGCUUCCUGAUGGAGCUCCUCGGGCAGCAAAAAAUCAAACAUCCCAUCGUCGGGGAUGUCAGGUGAGGCUCUGGGGGCCACCUGCCAAGGCCCAGUGUGGUACCAUUUUCUUCACCUCCUAACAACCUGGGAUGGUGGGGUUAUGUCCGCUCUCAAGAGGAACUGAGACACUGAGAGGUG